AUUAUCCCACAGCCCAGACUCCUUUAAGGGCAGCUGGCACAACAUUAAGAAUCAUCCUCUCUCCUCCAGCUCUCAGAGAUGGAGACAGACAGACUCCUGCUAUGGGUGCUGCUGCUCUGGGUUCCAGGCUCCACUGGUGACACUGUGCUGACCCAGUCUCCUGCUUUGGCUGUGUCUCCAGGAGAGAGGGUUACCAUCUCCUGUAGGGCCAGUGAAAGUGUCAGUACAGGUAUGCACUGGUACCAACAGAAACCAGGACAGCAACCCAAACUCCUCAUCUACGGUGCAUCCAACCUAGAAUCUGGAGUCCCUGCCAGGUUCAGUGGCAGUGGGUCUGGGACAGACUUUACCCUCACCAUUGAUCCUGUGGAGGCUGAUGAUACUGCAACCUAUUUCUGUCAGCAGAGUUGGAAUGAUCCUCCCACAGUGCUCCAGGGCUGAACAAAAACCUCCUGUGUUUGCAGCUCACUGAGGUUCAGUGUCUCAGUUCUCUCUUCCUCUCUGACCUCUCAACACAGAGCUCUAAGCUGUUUUGGAAAAUGAUCUCAAAUAAUGAAACAAGCUUUUAUAAACAGA